rnacentral:tRNA from 1 species
AUUCAUUUAGCUUAAGGUUUAAAGCAUGAUAUUGAAGAUAUCGGGAUAAGUUUAUACUUUUUGAAUA